rnacentral:rRNA from 1 species
AUGCAGCUGGUCUCGCGGGGCCACACUGCGAUCUCAGUUAAUGGCCAGAUCAAUUUCUUCGCCAAUGGCAGGGGCCUACGGCAAGGUGAUCCAACUUCUCCUCUAUUGUUUAACUUUGUGGCGGACGCUCUCUCUCGCAUCCUUUAUAGGGCCACCUCGUGCGGACACAUCUCUCCGGUCAUUUCCCACCUCAUUCCUGAAGGCGUCACGCAUCUCCAGUAUGCAUACGACACCAUCAUUAUGGUGGAACUUAAUGGUUCUUGCAUUGCCCACCUUAAGUUCAUUUUGCUAGGUUUUGAAGACUUAUCGGUGAUGGGGAACGUAGUAAUUUCAAAAAAAUUCCUACGCACACGCAAGAUCAUCGUGAUGCAUAGCAACGAGAGGGGAGAGUGUUGUCCACGUACGCUCGUAGAUCAAAAGCGGAAGCGUUUAACACAACGCGGUUGA